AUAAUGAUACUUCCGGCGACGGCUAUGCCACAGGAAUGGCUAGAGGUGAAACUCCUAUGU
rfam:Eubacterium sp. CAG:786 genomic scaffold, scf281